rnacentral:rRNA from 1 species
CGCCGCCACGGUAAUACGUAGGGUGCAAGCGUUAAUCGGAAUUACUGGGCGUAAAGCGUGCGCAGGCGGUUAUAUAAGACAGAUGUGAAAUCCCCGGGCUCAACCUGGGAACUGCAUUUGUGACUGUAUAGCUAGAGUACGGCAGAGGGGGAUGGAAUUCCGCGUGUAGCAGUGAAAUGCGUAGAUAUGCGGAGGAACACCGAUGGCGAAGGCAAUCCCCUGGGCCUGUACUGACGCUCAUGCACGAAAGCGUGGGGAGCAAACAGGAUUAGAUACCCCUGUAGUCCCUGUCUCUUAUACA